rnacentral:tRNA from 1 species
GGGGAUUUAGCUCAGUGGUAGAGCGCUUGCCUAGCAAGCACAAGGCCCUGGGUUCAAUCCCCAGCUCCA